UGAAACAGUAUGUUAUGCAGAGGACAGAUGGAGAUGGGCAGAUAGGACAGUAUUAAAUGGAAUCCUUUCAAACUCCUUUCUUAUGGCAAACAUGACACUUUCCCUGGGGUGAUUAAUUUACAUGUGCGAGGGAUUAGGGAACAAAAGUGCUUAUCACAAAGUCUCUGGAUAUCCUUUGAUUCCAAAGAGGGAGGAUUUGGGGACUGGGUAAAUAAAAUAUCGGGCAAAAGUUUUAAUAUUUAAUGAAGGCUGCUUUUUUACAGCACUUCAUUAAAUAGACUGCAAUUUUCUUGUACCA